ACUGCUCGGGUCGGGCUGGGUAUCGGUCGGCGGGUGGACAGUUCUGCAGCUGCUCUUUUGUUUUGCCCUGAAAAGAACUGCCCAAAGAACUUCUUUGGAAGAGAAGAUGAGAGAGAUUACAGCAUCUUUUGCGAAAGGAAACUGGAAGCCCAAGCAAGUACACAGACUGCACUAAACUUUCACCUGUACAGCUGGCCCCAGGAACGGGGAGAAGAGCAGAGACAGUAAAUUACCCCACUGGAGCUCAUUCCCUACCUGCCACAUGCUUAAACUGGGGCUUUAUCUGGCUGGCUCUUUACAUAACCAGUAGGUUUGCAGACAUGGCAUUUUUCAUCAUAUUUCCCCUGCUUUAAAGCACAUGAUAUGCACGGUCUCUAUGGCUGAAUAAAAGGUCAUGACUGACCAGCUGGUAGCACAAAAUGUAUUUUUACCCUAAUGGCAGGGUAUUCUACCUUUUGUUUCUCAUUGCAAUGACUGCAUAUUUACAUAAACCCUACAUCUGUUUAGUUAAAUUAAGCCAGAGGGUGAUGAUCUUUGUCUUUACAAAAGAGCUGAUUUAAUUUUAUUGAACAUAACUUUCCAUUUAAAAGAUCAAAGUCAGUGCAACCCCCUGCAGCAACAAUUCAGUUCUAUGUGUUUCUUCAAAUAUUCAUAUGAAGAAAAUAGGGGAACUGGGACUCAGAAAGCUAGUGAAUUUUAACAGACAUGUAGCAAUUAUUCAUUCCUAAAAAAAAAAAAAAAAAGAAAAAAAGGAAAGAAAAAUGAAAACUCUUUGGGGCCUUUGUUUAUCCUGGGCUUGAUGA